UCAAGACCAGCCUGACCAACGUGGAGAAACCCCUUCUCUACUAAAAAUACAAAAAUUAGCCAGGCGUGGUGGCGCUCACCUGUAGUCCUACCUACUCGGGAGGAGAAUCGCUUGAACCCAGUAGGCGGAGGUUGCGGUGAGCUGAGAUCGCCCCACUCCAUCUAGCCUGGGUAACAAGAACGAAACUCGUCUCAAAAAAAAAAAAAAAAAGCCCACCCGCAGUGUAGCACAGGGCAGGCCGGUGCUGUGGGUGCUGCCGGCACCUGCUCAGAGCCCGACCCCGCAGGUGCUGGAGGCGCUGCUGCCGCUGAAGGGCCUAGAGGAGCGUGUGGCAGCCGCCGUGGACCUGAUCAUCAAGAGCCACCAGGGCCUGGACCGCCAGGAGCUGAGCUUUGCGGCCCGGUCCUUCUACUACAAGCUGCGUGCCGCUGAGCAGUACACACCCAAGGCCAAGUACCAUGGCAACGUGAUGCUACUGCGCGCCAAGACGGGUGGCGCCUACGGCGAGGACCUGGGCGCGGACUACAACCUCUCCCAGGUGCACAAGGGGCCUGACGGGAACGGGGACAGGGACAGGAGUGGGGUGGGACGGCAGCUGAUCGCAUCCCCUGCAGGUAUGCGACGGGAAAGUAUCCGUCCACGUCAUCGAGGGUGACCACCGCACACUGCUGGAGGGCAGCGGCCUGGAGUCCAUCGUCAGCAUCAUCCACAGCUCCCUGGCUGAGCCACGCGUGAGCGUGCGGGAGGGCUAGGCCCGUGCCCCCGCCUGCCACCGGAGGUCACUCCACCAUCCCCACCCCACCCCACCCCACCCCACCCCACCCCCGCCAUGCAACGGGAUUGAAGGGUCCUGCCGGUGGGACCCUGUCCGGCCCAGUGCCACUGCCCCCCGAGGCUGCUAGACGUAG
rnacentral:sRNA from 1 species